GCGCCGGGUUAGCUCAGUGGUUACUUCUCAGCCAAAAGACAACUCUCAUGGCCGCCGGGUCUCCGGAAGCCAGAGAUCGAACCACGGGCACUGUCCAGCGUUUUA
rnacentral:vault_RNA from 8 species